CAGACUUGACUUAUGACUGUGUGUCGGUUGUCUUUUUCCUGAUCUCAUACUUGAAGUCCAUACCAUUGCCAUGUGACAGUUUUUAAUUAUUGUUAGAAUUUAAUAAUUUACAAGAAGAACUCAAUUAGUAGAACUCAAUUAUUUCUGUAAAAAACUGAGUUCUGUCUGGACUCAUUUCUAAAGAUUUGUCAUUAUUAUUUAGUUUUAUUAUUAAUAUUUUCCUUCUGAUUUAGGAACCUUUCCAAAUGUAGCAGUUCGUGUCUGUUUUAAAAUGUGAAUACUUACGAAAAGAUGAUGGGAUGAACAUCAAUAUACUUCUGUUGUGAGUGCAUAUAAAUGCUUUCUACUGCGUAUGCUUAUUGACUCUGAUUUGCUCCUAUUUCACAAUUUAUUCAGAGUAAUAUUUUUAAAUUAACAUUUUAAUUGUCAUUCUUUAAAAUAACAUUUUUUAAAAUGUUGAAAUUGAAUUUCUUAAAAAUAAAUAAAUAAAUAACCAUGAAAAGGAUGGACCUUCCCCCCUUGUUUUCAACCAGUUCUUUGUUAUAUGAAAAACACAAAAAGUCCAAUUAUGGAAUUAUUUCUCUUAAUUAAAGCACAAUUCAUUUGCUCAUUUCCUCUUUUUACCAAGUUUCUCUUUGUUAGCUAAAAGUUCCAUUCUCAUACUCUUACAAUAUUUAGAGGAAAAAACAAAAAAGUCUUUGUUGUAAAAUGUAUUUAGUUCAUUCACUUUGUCCUUUUAAUACACAGAAUACAUUUGCAGCAUGUAGGAGACAUCAGACUUUGUGCACUGAGCCAUCUGAUGUUUGUAUAUUGCUGGUGAAACUGCACGAGGCAAACACGUAUUAAUUUUUAUUCAGAUCUUGGAAAUGUGGUUCACGGACUGAAAAUUCAUUUGAAUACAGCAAAGUAUCCCUGCCUAGAAAUAAGCCAUUCAAUCACUUCCACAGCAUACAACUCACAAAUAUGUGUUGGUCAUAUGGAUAAUAGGAAGAUCCUGCUUAAAUGCUUAGUGCCGAUAGAAAAAAAAAGCAGCCAGGCUAAACCAUUAUUAAGAUAUAAAUAGGCUUGUAAACAACUUAAUUGCAUAAAGGAGUUGGUUUUCUUGGGACUGCAGCAAUUUGCAUAAUGAACUGCAGCAGUAGCCCUAACAACAUUCUGUGUUAACUGACGUCAAGUGAGAUUGUCAACUUUUGCAGUGCCAGACAGCAUUUGCUUUGCAGUCAUUUUUACAGAGAAGGAACUCUGGGAAGGAAAAGUGUGACAGAGAAUUUUUCUGCUUGUUUGCUUUUAGGUUUGCAUUCAACCCACAUUUGUUGUUUUUUUUUAAUUAUUUAUCAAUGUUGCUAAACUAUACACUUUUUUUUUUGAAAUAAUAUCCUAAUGAUAAUGAUUUUCUUUCCUAUUAGAACUCCAAUUUCAUAAAGCUAUCAAUCUACUAUAUCUUGCUAUUUGUAUCUGAAGUAAAGAUUUAGAUCUGAAUGUUUCAAGUAUUAGGACAACUGUUCUUUUAAAUCAAUAUUCUUUUUACACAUAAUUUUGAGACUUGAGAACAUAGAACCCCCGAACUGGAAGGAACCAUAGGAGUCCUCUAGCCCAAUACUCUUUCAGAUCAGGUCAGCCAUUAAUUCAGACUAGGUUGUUUAAGGCUUUAUCCAGUCUGAUCUUGAAACCUUCAAAAGAUUCAGAUUCCACAGCCUCUCUGGGCACUGUGUUACAUUUGUUCAUUAUGGCUUAGAUCUGCACAUCGUUUUGAAGGAGCAGCUGCAAUAUAGGCACAUUAUACCCUAGAGAUAUUAUAUAGCCACGAGACAUAGUAAAAUAUCUCACAUGGCAUACAGGGAAGUAACUAAAGUGAUGCUUUUUGAUAUUUCACCUAACAAUAAAGAAGGAAUUAAGUCCUAGUAUUAGAAAGUGUACAGUGAAUAAUCAGAACAGUACCUGAUUGCCUUUUUUUGGUUAAGUUUCAUUUGUGUUUUGAAAACAUACAGGCCUGACAGUGUUUUAAAGGAAACUCACUCACUCUCAUGCACAUGCCUGGGAAGGUAGCUAUACCUCCCAUAGCUAAUGAUGUACUCCUUGUAACAAAGCCCAGCAUGCAACUUGCCUUAUUCAUAUUGAGAGUAAAAUGCUGGCUCGUACCCUGCCACACAUCCACCAUCAUCAUGGACAUCUUCUGCAGGACACUGUUCAGCCAGCCACAUCCAUUCAGUGGUGAUGCCUUGGGUUAUUCCAAAGUGCAGAGCUUUGGGCUUCUCCUGGGUGAAUUUCUCAUGAACUGAAUUCACAGCACUUUUUAAUGGUGUCAUGUCAUGUUUGCCUCUUCAUACCCUAUGCAAUGUUCCAUCCAUGCUUGCUUGUUGGUUUGGAGUUGAGCCUUUUUAUGAUGCACCACAACAUCAUACCAACACUGUGAUUGGCAAGGCAAGAUUUGCAUGAAGGAAUUAUAUUAAGUAAUUAUGGAAUUAAUUAUUAAACUGAUGUUAUUCAUGGCUACAGGCAGACAUUGUUAAGCUGACAUAAAACUAUGCACAGAUGCUCUUUUCCACAUGUAGUUAUGGCAAUUCAGCUCAUCUCUCCCAGCAGAGUUAUUUGCAAAGUGAAUAUCUCCCAAAUAUGAGAAUUUUUGAUAAUUUUAGGUGAUAUUCAUGAAAUAAUGAUGAAUAAACAGAAAAGAAUAUACUUUUACAGAAGUAAAAAUACGUAUAUAUGUUGAUAUUAAAUUAAGAAAACCACAGCUGCACAGCUACAUUAAUACAACAUACAUAGUAAAUUUAAAUUAGGCUGAAAAAAAAAAAACAAUCUAUAUUUGAGAUAGAAUAUUUUAAUCUCUAGAGUUGGAAUAAAGUGACAGAAAAAAUCCUAUCAAAUUAGGACAUUUUACAAAUAAAAGUGCUGACAAGACUUAGAUAAUAUUUUUUUAGCUGGAUUUCAACAUAUAUCACUGUGCAAAAGAACAUGGUUUGACUAAUAGAAAUUCUCUGCCUGAGAUUCAGCAUGCAGCAAU
rnacentral:lncRNA from 7 species